UACAGAGGGGGCAAGCGUUGUUCGGAAUUACUGGGCGUAAAGCGUGCGCAGGCGGUGGCUCAAGCCAGGCGUGAAAUCCCCGGGCUUAACCUGGGAAUGGCGUUUGGGACUGGGUCGCUAGAGUGUGGCAGAGGGAGGUGGAAUUCCACGUGUAGCAGUGAAAUGCGUAGAGAUGUGGAGGUACACCGAUGGCGAAGGCAGCCUCCUGGGCCAGCACUGACGCUCAUGCACGAAAGCGUGGGGAGCAAACAGG
rnacentral:rRNA from 1 species